CUUCAAGAAAGUGUGGUUGUUGACAGUGUGAGAAUCGCAGACAACCGCCACGUGGCGCCGAGCGCGGGUGACGGCGACAUUGAUCCUCCGGUCCUCGGCAAGGAAACCAACUUCACCUAGAAACAAGGUAGGGGCUCCUGCGAGGCCCUGUCGUCAGGCCACGGCUGCUCAGACACCCGCUGCUGACCGUUGCUUCUCAGUCCGGCUCCACGUACCAAACGUGCACUUGGCAGCUACCAGACUUGUUCAUUCCGAGCCCAGACCUAGAGGCAGCUCGGGCGACAUGGAUGUGGCUGCAGCUGACACACAGGGAAACCGACUCUGGCGAGAGCUUCAUACCUUUCCUAUUCGAUCUGACGAAGGACAGUACCACAGCCUCCUUCUCGCGGCCUUGGAAGCCAUCGACUGACUUAAUUUCAAGC